rnacentral:rRNA from 1 species
CCUACGGGAGGCAGCAGUGAGGAAUAUUGGUCAAUGGACGAGAGUCUGAACCAGCCAAGUAGCGUGAAGGAUGACUGCCCUAUGGGUUGUAAACUUCUUUUAUAUGGGAAUAAAAUGUUCCACGUGUGGGCUUUUGUAUGUACCUUAUGAAUAAGGAUCGGCUAACUCCGUGCCAGCAGCCGCGGUAAUACGGAGGAUCCGAGCGUUAUCCGGAUUUAUUGGGUUUAAAGGGAGCGUAGGUGGAUUGUUAAGUCAGUUGUGAAAGUUUGCGGCUCAACCGUAAAAUUGCAGUUGAAACUGGCAGUCUUGAGUACAGUAGAGGUGGGCGGAAGUCGUGGUGUAGCGGUGAAAUGCUUAGAUAUCACGAAGAACUCCGAUUGCGAAGGCAGCUCACUGGACUGCAACUGACACUGAGGCACGAAAGUGUGGGUAUCAAACAGGAUUAGAUACCCGAGUAGUC